GGGUCAGUAGGUUGGUCGUGCCACCGGUACGUACUGGUCUCACUGAUUCCUCCUUCCUGAAGUACCGUAAUGCCAUUAAUUUGGUGUUGCGGGGAAACAGGACUGUUACUUUGAAAAAAUUAGAGUUUUUAAAGCAAGCUAACGCUUGAAUACAUUAGCAUGGAAUAAUGAAAUAGGACGAUCGAUCCUAUUUUGUUGGUUUCUAGGAUUGACGUA
rnacentral:rRNA from 1 species